UACCUUUGCCCCGUCAGUGAAAAGUUCACUUGACUACAUAAUAAUUAUUUUAACAAUAUUGGAAUG
rnacentral:ncRNA from 1 species